rnacentral:rRNA from 1 species
AGAUUGAACGCUGGCGGCAGGCCUAACACAUGCAAGUCGAACGGUAACAGGAAGCAGCUUGCUGCUUCGCUGACGAGUGGCGGACGGGUGAGUAAUGUCUGGGAAACUGCCUGAUGGAGGGGGAUAACUACUGGAAACGGUAGCUAAUACCGCAUAACGUCGCAAGACCAAAGAGGGGGACCUUCGGGCCUCUUGCCAUCGGAUGUGCCCAGAUGGGAUUAGCUAGUAGGUGGGGUAACGGCUCACCUAGGCGACGAUCCCUAGCUGGUCUGAGAGGAUGACCAGCCACACUGGAACUGAGACACGGUCCAGACUCCUACGGGAGGCAGCAGUGGGGAAUAUUGCACAAUGGGCGCAAGCCUGAUGCAGCCAUGCCGCGUGUAUGAAGAAGGCCUUCGGGUUGUAAAGUACUUUCAGCGGGGAGGAA